CCCUGUGUUGUUAAUUCUUGAACAUGCUUCCUGUAAAUUUCAUCACCUUUAUUCAAAAUGUAAUCCAGGUUCAGUGUGUUUGAAUCAAAAUUUAAAGAAGAAAGUGAUAAGAAAAACUAAGCAAUUACAAGUACAUUGGUUUCCCCUGCUUUGAUCAGCAAAUUUUGUGGCAUACUGGUCAAAAGUUCCAAAUUUAAUAAAGUUUGCAUUAAAAGAAUUGUAAUAUUUUGAUACUCCUUGUUCUGAAUUAGUUUUAAAUUGGUCAUUUUGGUCUUGCAACAGAUUAGUUUGGAUAAAACAAUGAGAAUCUUUUUUGGCAUAACUAUUGUUUGAUUCAUUUGACAGAAUAUCUGUUUGUAUGUGACAAGUUUCUU
rnacentral:lncRNA from 1 species